AUGCCCGAAUCCUGACACAGGGAGGUAGUGACAAGAAAUAACAAUACAGGGCUACUUCUAGUCUUGUAAUUGGAAUGAGUACAACUUACAUCUCUUCACGAGGAUCAAUUGGAGGGCAAGUCUGGUGCCAGCAGCCGCGGUAAUUCCAGCUCCAAUAGCGUAUAUUAAAGUUGUUGCAGUUAAAAAGCUCGUAGUCGGAUUUCGGGUCGGGCCGAGCGGUCUGCCGAUGGGUAUGCACUGUUUGGCGCGGCCUUCUUUCCGGAGACCGCGGCUACUCUUAACUGAGCGGGCGUGGGAGACGGAUCGUUUACUUUGAAAAAAUCAGAGUGUUUCAAGCAGGCAGCUCGCUCUUGCAUGGAUUAGCAUGGGAUAAUUGAAUAGGACUCUGGUGCUAUUUUGUUGGUUUCGAACACCGGAGUAAUGAUUAACAGGGACAGUCAGG
rnacentral:rRNA from 1 species